GACGAACGCUGGCGGCGUGCUUAACACAUGCAAGUCGAGCGAUCGGCCUUGGAGGGGUAACCCUCCUUGGUACGGAGCGGCGAACGGGUGAGUAACACGUGGGCAACCUGCCCCAGGCUCUGGAAUAACCCCCGGAACGGGGCUAUGCCGGAUAUUCUCGGGAUCCCGCAUGAGGACCCGACGGAAGGGUUACCGGCCUGGGAUGGGCCCGCGGCCUAUCAGCUAGUUGGUGAGGUAACGGCCCACCAAGGCGACGACGGGUAGCUGGCGUGAGAGCGCGGCCAGCCACACUGGGACUGAGACACGGCCCAGACUCCUACGGGAGGCAGCAGUGGGGAAUCUUGCACAAUGGGCGGAAGCCUGAUGCAGCGACGCCGCGUGGGGAUGAAGG
rnacentral:rRNA from 1 species